rnacentral:tRNA from 1 species
GCGGGCGUGGCGGAACCGGUAGACGCAAGCGACUUAAAAUCGCUUGGGCAAUGCCCGUGGGGGUUCGAGUCCCCCCGCCCGCACCA